GAUGAACGCUGGCGGCGUGCUUAACACAUGCAAGUCGAGCGAAGCGGUUAAGUUGAUUUCUUCGGAUUGAUUCUUAACUGACUGAGCGGCGGACGGGUGAGUAACGCGUGGGUGACCUGCCCCAUACCGGGGGAUAACAGCUGGAAACGGCUGCUAAUACCGCAUAAGCGCACAGAGCUGCAUGGCUCGGUGUGAAAAACUCCGGUGGUAUGGGAUGGGCCCGCGUCUGAUUAGGCAGUUGGCGGGGUAACGGCCCACCAAACCGACGAUCAGUAGCCGGCCUGAGAGGGCGACCGGCCACAUUGGGACUGAGACACGGCCCAAACUCCUACGGGAGGCAGCAGUGGGGAAUAAUGCACAAUGGGGAAACCCUGAUGCAGCGACGCCGCGUGAGCGAAGAAGUAUUUCGGUAUGUAAAGCUCUAUCAGCAGGGAAGAUAAUGACGGUACCUGACUAAGAAGCCCCGGCUAACUACGUGCCAGCAGCCGCCGUAAGAC
rnacentral:rRNA from 1 species